rnacentral:rRNA from 1 species
AUACUAAGGGUGCAAGCGUUAAUCGGAAUUACUGGGCGUAAAGCGCCCGUAGGCGGCUUGUUAAGUCGGAUGUGAAAUCCCCGGGCUCAACCUGGGAACUGCAUUCGAUACUGGCAAGCUAGAGUAUAGUAGAGGCAAGUGGAAUUCCGGGUGUAGCGGUGAAAUGCGUAGAUAUCCGGAGGAACAUCAGUGGCGAAGGCGACUUGCUGGACUAAUACUGACGCUGAGGAGCGAAAGCGUGGGGAGCAAACGGGAUUAGAAACCCCAGUAGUCC